rnacentral:rRNA from 1 species
UGGGGAAUUUUGGACAAUGGGGGAAACCCUGAUCCAGCCAUCCCGCGUGUGCGAUGAAGGCCUUCGGGUUGUAAAGCACUUUUGGCAGGAAAGAAACGUCAUGGGUUAAUACCCCGUGAAACUGACGGUACCUGCAGAAUAAGCACCGGCUAACUACGUGCCAGCAGCCGCGGUAAUACGUAGGGUGCAAGCGUUAAUCGGAAUUACUGGGCGUAAAGCGUGCGCAGGCGGUUCGGGAAGAAAGAUGUGAAAUCCCAGAGCUCAACUUUGGAACUGCAUUUUUAACUACCGGGCUAGAGUGUGUCAGAGGGAGGUGGAAUUCCGCGUGUAGCAGUGAAAUGCGUAGAUAUGCGGAGGAACACCGAUGGCGAAGGCAGCCUCCUGGGAUAACACUGACGCUCAUGCACGAAAGCGUGGGGAGCAAACAGG